AACAUAAUCUAUAUCUUGAGAAAUAACUCUUAUUUCGUUAUUUGAAAGAAAAGCUAAUUAAAUAUGCAAUAAAUUAGUUCUGUGUUGUUCUAUGUGAUCAACUUCUCAUAUUAUGCGAUCAGACCCUCUUUAUGUUGCAGAAUGAAAUCAUGGAAAACAGGUUCUCCUUGCUGCAUCCGAUUGCCUGCACAAACAGAUCUACCAUCCAUAUGAACAUAAUUUUUGAUUCGUCAACUUUUCAAAAACUGGGUUUAACAUUUUGCCCCCAAAGUUAGUGUUCAUGGAAGCCUAAGAUUCACUUCAAUACGAUGGUUCCUUAUCCACUAUUCGGUAUAGAUACAUACAUGUCAGUUGAUCGUUUACUUUUCCAAUGUCAAAUUGACUUUUCAAAUUCCUAUCUAUGAAACUUUUUAAACGUUCAAGCCUUCUACUUUAGACGAGAUAGAGAAAACUAGUAUCGAGGCUUCAAUCCUUCAGAAAACAACAUUCCACGAAGAUUAAUUAAGCCUAUCCAUCGUCGUGCACUUCUUAUGUUCAUCUGUGACUACUUCUAGGGAGGUGAGGUGAGUGAUGUGUGUAUGAAGACCUUUAACAACUGCUUUACAAUGAAGAGCCAGAACGUGAACCACCAUUCCAUAACUUUGUGUAACGUCCCAAAUCAAGGAGGGCAUAAUUGGAUGUUUAUGUGUUAGUAUGAUUUAAUUGUGAUUAUAUAUGUGAAUUUUAUGAGUUAUAUUAUGAUACUUAUGCAUGUUUAAGUGUAUUAAAUAUGCUUAUAGACCCGCUUCUAUUAAAAAUGACAUUUUCAUAA